rnacentral:rRNA from 1 species
UACGGAGGGUGCAAGCGUUAUCCGGAUUCACUGGGUUUAAAGGGUGCGUAGGCGGGUAAGUAAGUCCGUGGUGAAAUCUCUGAGCUUAACUCAGAAACUGCCGUGGAUACUAUUUGCCUUGAAUAUUGUGGAGGUGAGCGGAAUAUGUCAUGUAGCGGUGAAAUGCUUAGAUAUGACAUAGAACACCAAUUGCGAAGGCAGCUCACUACACAAUCAUUGACGCUGAGGCACGAAAGCGUGGGGAUCAAGCAGG